CCGGCACGGGUGGCGUAACGCGUAUGCAACCUACCAUCAACAGGGGAGUAACACUGAGAAAUUGGUACUAAUACCCCAUAAUAUCUCAUGCGGCAUCGCAUGGGGUUGAAAACUCCGGUGGUUGAUGAUGGGCAUGCGUUGUAUUAGCUGGUUGGUGAGGUAACGGCUCACCAAGGCGACGAUACAUAGGGGGACUGAGAGGUUAACCCCCCACAUUGGUACUGAGACACGGACCAAACUCCUACGGAAGGCAGCAG
rnacentral:rRNA from 1 species